GAUGAACGCUGGCGGCGUGCCUAAUACAUGCAAGUCGAGCGAACGGACGAGAAGCUUGCUUCUCUGAUGUUAGCGGCGGACGGGUGAGUAACACGUGGAUAACCUACCUAUAAGACUGGGAUAACUUCGGGAAACCGGGGCUAAUACCGGAUAAUAUUUUGAACCGCAUGGUUCAAAAGUGAAAGACGGUCUUGCUGUCACUUAUAGAUGGAUCCGCGCUGCAUUAGCUAGUUGGUAAGGUAACGGCUUACCAAGGCAACGAUGCAUAGCCGACCUGAGAGGGUGAUCGGCCACACUGGAACUGAGACACGGUCCAGACUCCUACGGGAGGCAGCAGUAAGGAAUCUUCCGCAAUGGGCGAAAGCCUGACGGAGCAACGCCGCGUGAGUGAUGAAGGUCUUCGGAUCGUAAAACUCUGUUAUUAGGGAAGAACAUAUGUGUAAGUAACUGUGCACAUCUUGACGGUACCUAAUCAGAAAGCCACGGCUAACUACGUG
rnacentral:rRNA from 1 species